GACCAGUGGAGAUUCUUCUUGUGCUAACCAUGGCAUUCCACAAAGGUUACAGAAAGUUCCAGCAUGCAGUCCAAGAGUUUCAGGUAUCAUUGACUCUGCUAGCAUUAACCAAGAGAGAUCAAAUUUUGUGAGAGGGAACAGAGUCUUGCAAGAGGUCCAUACCAAGUCUGGAAGUGUUCUCCUGCCAGUUUCUUGCCAUUGCUAUGGCACUGCAAGAGUCUGUACAGUAUGCUUGGGUAGGAGCAAUCAGCAUGCCCCAAGAGCUGGAACACCUGGGUUUCGUGCCCCUGAAGUUCUGUUGCGCCAUCCAGACCAAGGAACAGCUGUAGACAUGUGGUCUGUUGGUGUUAUUCUUUUGUGCCUGUUGAGUGGACGAUACCCUUUUUUCAAGGCAGCCGAUGAUCUGUCAACUUUAGCUGAAAUAUCACACUUCUUGGUUCUUAUACUAU